CAAUAGCGUAUAUUAAAGUUGUUGCAGUUAAAAAGCUCGUAGUUGGAUUUCUGUGAGAGUGCCGGUGUCGGCUGAUGCUUGUACGCAGGCGCUCUUACAUCCUUCUGUUAACUGUUCUUGGCAUUUUAUUGCUGGUUCAGGGCUCAGAUAUUUUACCUUGAGAAAAUUAGAGUGUUUCAGGCAGGCUUAUGCCGGAAUACAUUAGCAUGGAAUAAUGGAACAGGACCUGUGCGUCUCUCGGGGCGCCGGUCUCCGUUGUUGGUUUCGGGGACUAAUGUAAUGAUUAAUAGGGAUAGUUGGGGGCAUUAGUAUUUAAUAGUCAGAGGUGAAAUUCUCGGAUUCGUUAAAGACUAACUUAUGCGAAAGCAUUUGCCAAGGAUGUUUUCAUUAA
rnacentral:rRNA from 1 species